UGAUGAUGAUGAUGAUGAUGAUGAUGAUGAUGAUGAUGAUGAUGGCGGCAAUCAGCAUCAUCAUCGCCAUCAUCACCAUCAUCAUCAUCAUCACCA
rnacentral:pre_miRNA from 1 species